CUGGCGGCGUGCCUAAUACAUGCAAGUCGAACGGUCUUUCUAUGGAAGCUGCUUCCACUGAGAAGAUAGUGGCGAACGGGUGAGUAACACGUGGGUAACCUGCCCAUAAGAGGGGGGAUAACAUCCGGAAACGGGUGCUAAUACCGCAUAGUUUUCUUGAUCGCGUGAUCGGGAAAGGAAAGACGGCCUUUGUGCUGUCGCUUAUGGAUGGACCCGCGGCGUAUUAGUUAGUUGGUGAGGUAACGGCUCACCAAGACGAUGAUACGUAGCCGACCUGAGAGGGUGAUCGGCCACAUUGGGACUGAGACACGGCCCAAACUCCUACGGGAGGCAGCAGUAGGGAAUCUUCCGCAAUGGACGAAAGUCUGACGGAGCAACGCCGCGUGAGUGAAAGAAGGUUUUCGGAUCGUAAAACUCUGUUGUCAGAGAAGAACAAGUUGGAGAGUAACUGCUCCAGCCUUGACGGUAUCUGACCAGAAAGCCACGGCUAACUACGUGCCAGCCGCGGC
rnacentral:rRNA from 1 species